GCCUAGCCCUAAACCUUGGUAAUAUAUCACAUACCCUACCCGCCUGGGAACUACGAGCACCAGCUUAAAACCCAAAGGACUUGGCGGUGCUUUAGACCCCCCUAGAGGAGCCUGUUCUAGAACCGAUAACCCCCGUUCAACCUCACCCUUCCUUGUUUAUCCCGCCUAUAUACCGCCGUCGUCAGCUUACCCUGUGAAGGACUAAAAGUAAGCACAACUGGCACAACCCAAAACGUCAGGUCGAGGUGUAGCGCAUGGAGGGGGAAGAAAUGGGCUACAUUCCCUAUAGUAGGGAACACGAACGGCGCACUGAAACACGCGCCUGAAGGAGGAUUUAGUAGUAAGCGGAAAAUAGCGUGUUCCGCUGAAAUCGGCCCUGAAGCGCGC
rnacentral:rRNA from 1 species